rnacentral:piRNA from 1 species
GCUAUGUAACCUUGCUCCUUAAUUGAAAAA